UGGGGUUUUGGCUCAGGGGUAGAGUGCUCGCCUAGCAUGUGCGGGGCUCUGGGUUCAAUCCUCAGCACCACAU
rnacentral:tRNA from 1 species